UACAGAGGGGGCAAGCGUUAUUCGGAAUUAUUGGGCGUAAAGGGCGCGUAGGCGGCCUGACAAGUGGAUGGUGAAAUCCCUCGGCUUAACCGAGGAACUGCCAUCCAGACUGUUUAGCUUGAAGACCGGGAGAGGUGAGUGGAAUUCCCAGUGUAGCGGUGAAAUGCGUAGAUAUUGGGAGGAACACCAGUGGCGAAGGGCGGACUCACUGGACCGGUACUGACGACUGAUGCGCGAAAGCGUGGGAG
rnacentral:rRNA from 1 species